rnacentral:rRNA from 1 species
AGAGACAGCAGUAGCCGCGGGAAUACGAAGGGUGCAAGCGUUAUCCGGAAUCAUUGGGUUUAAAGGGUCCGUAGGCGGUCUUGUAAGUCAGUGGUGAAAGCCCAUCGCUCAACGGUGGAACGGCCAUUGAUACUGCAGGACUUGAAUUAUUGGGAAGUAACUAGAAUAUGUAGUGUAGCGGUGAAAUGCUUAGAGAUUACAUGGAAUACCAAUUGCGAAGGCAGGUUACUACCAAUUGAUUGACGCUGAUGGACGAAAGCGUGGGUAGCGAACAGGAUUAGAUACCCGGGUAGUCCCUGUCUCUUAUAC